AAAGUACUCCCUCCGUCCCAAAAUUCUUGUCUUAGAUUUGUCUAGAUACGGAUGUAUCUAGUCACAUUUUAGUAUUAGAUACAUCCGUAUCUAGACAAAUCUAAGACAAGAAAUUUGGGACAAAGGGAGUAGGUG
rnacentral:pre_miRNA from 1 species